UACAGAGGUCCCGAGCGUUGUUCGGAAUCACUGGGCGUAAAGCGCACGCAGGCGGAUUGAUAAGUCAGGGGUGAAAUCCCGGAGCUCAACUUCGGAAUUGCCUUUGAUACUGUCUAUCUUCGAGUUCGGGAGAGGUUGGCGGAAUUCCUAGUGUAGAGGUGAAAUUCGUAGAUAUUAGGAAGAACACCAGUGGCGAAGGCGGC
rnacentral:rRNA from 1 species